CCUCUCACUCCACCUCCCGCGCUAGAACUCUUCUCCGGAUUCGCCAACCGCCAACGUUGUCUUAGGCGCUGUUUGAGGUCGCGAGGCUCCGCACGUGAGCCCAGCCCAAGGGCGGGAGGAAGUUUUAGGUUCUGGGUGUUCAUUAUAUAACUGUCCAAACCGGCCAUUAUUUAAUCUUUGUACCUCAAUGUCCUGUAAACUGGAUAGCAGUACUACCUACUGAAUACAGUUUUGAGGAGUAAAUGCGAUAGUUGAUUAAAUAUAAUCAACAAAUGUGGGGCAAGUGUUAUAGAAAAAAAAUCAAGCAUUAUUUACGAUAGCCAAGAUAUGGAAGC